GACGAACGCUGGCGGCGUGCCUAAUACAUGCAAGUUGAGCGAUGAAGAUUGGUGCUUGCACCACUUUGAAGAGCAGCGAACGGGUGAGUAACGCGUGGGGAAUCUGCCUUUGAGCGGGGGACAACAUUUGGAAACGAAUGCUAAUACCGCAUAACAACUUUAAACAUAAGUUUUAAGUUUGAAAGAUGCAAUUGCAUCACUCAAAGAUGAUCCCGCGUUGUAUUAGCUAGUUGGUGAGGUAAAGGCUCACCAAGGCGAUGAUACAUAGCCGACCUGAGAGGGGGGUCGGCCACAUUGGGACUGAGACACGGCCCAAACUUCUACGGGAGGCAGCAGUAGGGAAUCUUCGGCAAUGGACGAAAGUCUGACCGAGCAACGCCGCGGGAGGGAAGAAGGGUUUCGGAUCGUAAAACUCUGUUGGUAGAGAAGAACGUUGGUGAGAGUGGAAAGCUCAUCAAGUGACGGUAACUACCCAGAAAGGGACGGCUAACUACGUG
rnacentral:rRNA from 1 species